CUUCAUCCGACUUCCGUUAUGGUAGGGGAGCAUUCCUAAUGGGCAGAAGCUGUACCGAAAGGAGCAGUGGACUGUUAGGAAGAGAGAAUGCUGGCAUGAGUAAGCGAGAAGGCAGGUGAGAAUCCUGCCCGCCGUAAACCUGAGGUUUCCUGGGGAAGGCUCGUCCGCCCAGGGUAAGCCGGGACCUAAGCCGAGGCCGCAAGGCGUAGGCGAUGGACAACUGGUUGAGAAUCCAGUGCCACCUGAAGCCGCUAUAAGCGAUGGGGUGACGCAGGAGGAUAGGUGAAGCGCACGGAUGGAAGAGUGCGUCCAAGUACGUAGGGUAAUGGGCAGGCAAAUCCGCCCAUUGAAAAGCCUGAGGUGUGAUGGGGAGUGAAAUAUAGUAGCGAAGUCACUGAGUCCAAACUGCCAAGAAAAGCCUCUAGCAAGGUAACAGGUGCCCGUACCGAAAACCGACACAGGUAGGUGAGGAGAGAAUCCUAAGGCGCGCGAGAGAACCCUCGUUAAGGAACUCGGCAAAAUGACCCCGUAACUUAGGGAGAAGGGGUGCUCUAUUAGCGUGAGUAUGUUUAACAUAUAUGAGCGUGAGAGAGCCGCAGUGAUCAGGCCCAGGCGACUGUUUAACAAAAACACAGGUCUCUGCCAAAUCGAAAGAUGAAGUAUAGAGGCUGACGCCUGCCCGGUGCCGGAAGGUUAAGAGGAAGUGUUAGCGCAAGCAAAGCACUGAGCCGAAGCCCCGGUGAACGGCGGCCGUAACCAUAACGGUCCUAAGGUAGCGAAAUUCCUUGUCUGGUAAGUUCAGACCCGCACGAAAGGCGUAACGAUCUGGGCACUGUCUCGACGAGGGGCUCGGUGAAAUUGUAAUACCGGUGAAGAUGCCGGUUACCUGCGAUAGGACAGAAAGACCCCGUGGAGCUUUACUGCAGCUUGAUAUUGAAUUUUGGUAGUUGAUGUACAGGAUAGGUGGGAGACUAAGAAGUGAGGUCGCCAGGUCUCAUGGAGUCAACGGUGGGAUACCACUCUUUAAUUGCUGGGAUUCUAACCUGGGCCCGUAAUCCGGGUCAGGGACAGUGUCUGGCGGGCAGUUUGACUGGGGCGGUCGCCUCCCAAAGAGUAACGGAGGCGCCCGAAGGUUUCCUCAGCGCGGAUGGAAAUCGCGCGAAGAGUGUAAAGGCAUAAGGGAGCUUGACUGUGAGAGAGACAUCUCGAGCAGGGACGAAAGUCGGGCUUAGUGAUCCGGCGGUACCGAGUGGAAGGGCCGUCGCUCAUCGGAUAAAAGCUACCCCGGGGAUAACAGGCUUAUCUCCCCCAAGAGUUCACAUCGACGGGGAGGUUUGGCACCUCGAUGUCGGCUCAUCACAUCCUGGGGCUGGAGAAGGUCCCAAGGGUUGGGCUGUUCGCCCAUUAAAGUGGUACGUGAGCUGGGUUCAGAACGUCGUGAGACAGUUCGGUCCCUAUCCAUCGCAGGCGCAGGAGAAUUGAGAGGAUCUGUCCCUAGUACGAGAGGACCGGGAUGGACAGACCGCUGGUGUACCAGUUGUCUCGCCAGAGGCAUCGCUGGGUAGCUAUGUCUGGGACGGAUAAGCGCUGAAAGCAUCUAAGCGCGAAGCCAACCUCAAGAUGAGUUCUCCCACUCCGAGAGGAGGUAAGAUCCCAUCAAGAACAGGUGGUUGAUAGGCCGGGUGUGUAAGUGUAGUGAUGCAUUAAGCUGACCGGUACUAAUAGAUCGAGGUCUUGAGC
rnacentral:rRNA from 1 species